UACAGAGGGGGCUAGCGUUGUUCGGAGUUACUGGGCGUAACGCGUGCGUAGGCGGUGUCUUAAGUUUGUUGUGAAAUCUCCCGGCUUAACCGGGGGGGUGCGGCGAAUACUGAGAUGCUGGAGUGCGGGAGAGGUAAGCGGAAUUCCAGGUGUAGCGGUGAAAUGCGUAGAUAUCUGGAGGAACACCGGUGGCGAAGGCGGCAUCCUGGACCGGCAUUGACGCUGAGGCGCGAAAGCCAGGGGAGCAAACGGG
rnacentral:rRNA from 1 species